rnacentral:rRNA from 1 species
AAUAUUGCGCAAUGGAGGGAACUCUGACGCAGCGACGCCGCGUGAGCGAUGAAGGUUUUCGGAUCGUAAAGCUCUGUCCUGGGGGAAGAAGGUCUUCGGACUUGACGGUACCUACGGAGGCAGCCCCGGCUAUCUACGUGAUAGCAGCCGCGGUAAUACGUAGGGGGCAAGGGUUGUCCGGAAUUAUUGGGCGUAAAGGGUGCGUAGGCGGCCUUUUAAGUCAGAUGUGAAAGCCAACGGCUUAACCGUGGGACUGCAUUUGAAACUGGAGGGCUUGAGUAUCGGAGAGGGUAGUGGAAUUCCCAGUGUAGCGGUGGAAUGCGUAGAUAUUGGGAGGAACACCAGUGGCGAAGGCGACUACCUGGACGAAAACUGACGCUGAGGCACGAAAGCUAGGGGAGCAAAC